UACGUAGGGGGCAAGCGUUGUCCGGAUUUAUUGGGCGUAAAGAGCGUGUAGGCGGUUAGGUAGGUCCGUUGUGAAAACUCGAGGCUCAACCUCGAGACGCCGAUGGAAACCAUCUGACUAGAGUCCGGAAGAGGAGAGUGGAAUUCCUGGUGUAGCGGUGAAAUGCGCAGAUAUCAGGAGGAACACCGGUGGCGAAGGCGGCUUCCUGGCCUGUUCUUGACGCUGAGGCGCGAAAGCUAGGGGAGCAAACGGG
rnacentral:rRNA from 1 species